GUCUAUGGCCAUGCCACCCCGAACAUGCCUGAUCUCCUCUGAUCUCGGAAGCUAAGCAGAGUCGGGCCUUGUUAGUACUUGGAUGGGAGACUGCCUAGGAAUACCAGGUGCUGUAGGUG
rnacentral:rRNA from 1 species